GUGUCAGCCGCCGCGGUAAUACGAAGGUCCCAAGCGUUAUCCGGAUUUAUUGGGUUUAAAGGGUGCGUAGGCGGGUUAUUAAGUCAGUGGUGAAAGCUCUCAGCCUAACUGAGAAAUUGCCAUUGAUACUGAUGAUCUUGAGUACAUUUGAAGUGGGCGGAAUGUGUCAUGUAGUGGUGAAAUACUUAGAUAUGACACAGAACACCGAUUGCGUAGGCAGCUCGCUAAACUGUAACUGACGCUGAGGCACGAAAGCGUGGGGAGCAAACAGGAUUAGAUACCCCUGUAGUCC
rnacentral:rRNA from 1 species